AUGCUGAAGCUGAAUAUUGAUGGGUCAUACAAUGAGAGUACAAGGGUGGCAGGGGCGGGUAUGAUUCUCCGUGACGACUAUGGACGAAUUGUUUUCUCUUCCUGCCGUUUUCUUAGUUGUCGCGGAUCAGCACUUGAGGCGGAACUAAGUGCCUGUAUGGAUGGCAUGUCCCUUGCACUAGAGUGGAGUCAGCAGGAUGUCCUUGUUGAAACAGAUUCUGUGGAGGUCGCUAAGAUGAUUAAUAAUCCAUCUCGAGAUAUCUCACAGCUGGGUCAUCUAGUUGAGCACGUGAAGCAUCUCAUGAACCAAGGGAGGCGUUUUGUUGUCAACAAAAUCUCCCGGAAAAUGAACCAAAGUCUAGCCCACACCACUCGGAAUUCAUCCAUUGAUGAAAGAUGUCCCUUGAUCUCUUCGAUGAGGGACCCCAGCCUGGACCUGUUCAACUCUUCGCGCGUCAACUCUUGCAUGGCGCCUUUGUUGUCCGUUUCCAAGAUCAUCUGCCGUGCGCCCAUCUCCACCGCUAGCUGA
rnacentral:rRNA from 1 species